AGCAAACAGGAUUAGAUACCUGGUAGUCCACGCUGUAAACGAUGUCGAUUUGGAGUUUGUUGCCUAGAGUGAUGGGCUCCGAAGCUAACGCGAUAAAUCGACCGCUGGGGAGUACGGCCGCAAGGUUAAAACUCAAAUGAAUUGACGGGGGCCCGCACAAGCGGUGGAGCAUGUGGUUUAAUUCGAUGCAACGCGAAGAACCUUACCUGGUCUUGACAUCCAUAGAAUUCUGCAGAGAUGUGGGAGUGCCUUCGGGAACUAUGAGACAGGUGCUGCAUGGCUGUCGUCAGCUCGUGUUGUGAAAUGUUGGGUUAAGUCCCGCAACGAGCGCAACCCUUAUUCUUUGUUGCCAGCGAUUUGGUCGGGAACUCAAAGGAGACUGCCGUUGAUAAAGCGGAGGAAGGUGGGGACGACGUCAAGUCAUCAUGGCCCUUACGACCAGGGCUACACACGUGCUACAAUGGCGUAUACAAAGGGAAGCGAAGGUGCGAGCUGGAGCGGAUCUCAUAAAGUACGUCUAAGUUCGGAUUGGAGUCUGCAACUCGACUCCAUGAAGUCGGAAUCGCUAGUAAUCGUAGAUCAGAAUGCUACGGUGAAUACGUUCCCGGGCCUUGUACACACCGCCCGUCACACCAUGGGAGUGGGUUGCACCAGAAGUAGAUAGCUUAACCGCGAGGGGGGCGUUUACCACGGUGUGAUUCAUGACUGGGGUGAAGUCGUAACAAGGUAACCA
rnacentral:rRNA from 1 species